UCUUGGUCAAUUAGAGGAAGUAAAAGUCGUAACAAGGUUUCCGUAGGUGAACCUGCGGAAGGAUCAUUAAUGAAACUUCAAAGUCGGCUUGGUCAUCUGUGCUGGUGGAGACACAUGUGCACGUUGACAAAGUCGCAAACCCCACACACCUGUGCAUCUAUGACUCUGAGUACCGCUUGCAUGGGCCGUCAAACGCCCUGGUACUCGAGUAACUUUCACACACUCUGAAUGUAAUGGAAUGUCUAUUGUACAAUGUACAACCAAAAACAACUUUCAACAACGGAUCUCUUGGCUCUCGCAUCGAUGAAGAACGCAGCGAAAUGCGAUAAGUAAUGUGAAUUGCAGAAUUCAGUGAAUCAUCGAAUCUUUGAACGCACCUUGCACCCUUUGGUAUUCCGAAGGGUACACCCGUUUGAGUGUCAUUGUAAUCUCACUACAACCGCUUUUUUGUGGUUGCAUGUGGACUUGGAUGUUGCCGUGUCUCAAACGGCUCGUCUGAAAUGCCUGAGUGUACCCCUGCUUUGCGGCGUAUUCGGUGUGAUAAAUCUUCACCGGAGUUGACCCUCAGGGUCACGUCUGCUUGACAUGGCUCUAUGCUUCCAACCGUCCUGACAAGACAAUCUUUGACAAUUUGACCUCAAAUCGGGUGGGACUACCCGCUGAACUUAAGCAUAUCAAUAAGCGGAGGA
rnacentral:rRNA from 1 species